CCUACGGGGAGCAGCAGUCGAGAAUCAUUCACAAUGGGGGAAACCCUGAUGGUGCGACGCCGCGUGGGGGAAUGAAGUUCUUCGGAUUGUAAACCCCUGUCAUGUGGGAGCAAAUUAAAAAGAUAGUACCCCACGAGGAAGAGACGGCUAACUCUGUGCCAGCAGCCGCGGUAAUACAGAGGGCUCAAGCGUUGUUCGGAAUCACUGGGCGUAAGGCGUGCGUAGGCUGUUUCGUAAGUCGUGUGUGAAAGGUGCGGGCUCAACCCGCGCACGGCACAUGAUACUGCGAGACUAGAGUAAUGGAGGGGGGACCGGAAUUCUCGGUGUAGCAGUGAAAUGCGUAGAUAUCGAGAGGAACACUCGUGGCGAAGGCGGGUUCCUGGACAUUAACUGACGCUGAGGCACGAAGGCCAGGGGAGCGAAAGGGAUUAGAUACCCCGGUAGUC
rnacentral:rRNA from 1 species